rnacentral:rRNA from 1 species
CCUACGGGUGGCAGCAGUGGGGAAUAUUGGACAAUGGGCGAAAGCCUGAUCCAGCCAUGCCGCGUGUGUGAAGAAGGCCUUCGGGUUGUAAAGCACUUUCAGUGGGGAAGAAAGCCUUGGGGCUAAUACCCUCGAGGAAGGACAUCACCCACAGAAGAAGCACCGGCUAACUCCGUGCCAGCAGCCGCGGUAAUACGGAGGGUGCGAGCGUUAAUCGGAAUUACUGGGCGUAAAGCGCGCGUAGGCGGUCUGAUAAGCCGGUUGUGAAAGCCCCGGGCUCAAACUGGGAACGGCAUCCGGAACUGUCAGGCUAGAGUGCAGGAGAGGAAGGUAGAAUUCCCGGUGUAGCGGUGAAAUGCGUAGAGAUCGGGAGGAAUACCAGUGGCGAAGGCGGCCUUCUGGACUGACACUGACGCUGAGGUGCGAAAGCGUGGGUAGCAAACAGGAUUAGAUACCCCAGUAGUC